rnacentral:rRNA from 1 species
AUUGAACGCUGGCGGCAGGCCUAACACAUGCAAGUCGAGCGGAGCGGCGGACGGGUGAGUAAUGCCUAGGAAUCUGCCUGGUAGUGGGGGAUAACGUCCGGAAACGGGCGCUAAUACCGCAUACUAUCAGAUGAGCCUAUGUCGGAUUAGCUGGUUGGUGGGGUAAAGGCAUACCAAGCCGACGAUCCGUAACUGGUCUGAGAGGAUGAUCAGUCCCACGGGAACUGAGACACGGUCAAGACUCCUACGGGAGGCAGCAGGGGGGAAUAUUGGACAAGGGGCGAAAGCCUGAUCCAGCCAGGACGCGGGUGUGAAGAGGGGCUUCGGAUUGUAAAGCACUUUAAGUUGGGAGGCGUUACCAACAGAAUAAGCACCGGCUAACUUCGUGCCAGCAGCCGCGGUAAUUC